GACGAACGCUGGCGGCGUGCUUAACACAUGCAAGUCGAACGAAGAGCGAUGGAAGCUUGCUUCUAUCAAUCUUAGUGGCGCACGGGUGAGUAACGCGUAAUCAACCUGCCCUUCAGAGGGGGACAACAGUUGGAAACGACUGCUAAUACCGCAUACGAUCUAAUCUCGGCAUCGAGGAUAGAUGAAAGGUGGCCUCUACAUGUAAGCUAUCACUGAAGGAGGGGAUUGCGUCUGAUUAGCUAGUUGGAGGGGUAACGGCCCACCAAGGCGAUGAUCAGUAGCCGGUCUGAGAGGAUGAACGGCCACAUUGGGACUGAGACACGGCCCAGACUCCUACGGGAGGCAGCAGUGGGGAAUCUUCCGCAAUGGACGAAAGUCUGACGGAGCAACGCCGCGUGAGCGAUGACGGCCUUCGGGUUGUAAAGCUCUGUUAAUCGGGACGAAAGGCCUCCUUGCGAAUAGUGAGAAGGAUUGACGGUACCGGAAUAGAAAGCCACGGCUAACUACGU
rnacentral:rRNA from 1 species